rnacentral:rRNA from 1 species
GACGAACGCUGGCGGCGUGCUUAACACAUGCAAGUCGAACGGAGAUUAUUAAUGAAGCUUGCGAUUUAAUAAUCUUAGUGGCGGACGGGUGAGUAACGCGUGGGCAACCUACCCAUAAGAGGGGGAUAACAGCUGGAAACGGCUGCUAAUACCGCAUAAACUUUUUAAGACACAUGUUUUAGAAAGGAAAGGUGGCGCAAGCUAUCGCUUAUGGAUGGGCCCGCGUCUGAUUAGCUAGUUGGUGGGGUAACGGCCUACCAAGGCAACGAUCAGUAGCCGGCCUGAGAGGGUGGACGGCCACACUGGGACUGAGACACGGCCCAGACUCCUACGGGAGGCAGCAGUGGGGAAUAUUGCGCAAUGGGGGAAACCCUGACGCAGCGACGCCGCGUGAGCGAAGAAGGCCUUAGGGUUGUAAAGCUCUGUUCUAUGGGACGAAGUCCUUGACUGUGAAUAAUGGUCAAGGUUGACGGUACCAUAGGAGGAAGCCCCGGCUAACUACGUGCCAGCAGCCGAC